rnacentral:rRNA from 1 species
CUACGAGGUGCUGCAGUAAGGAAUAUUGCGCAAUGGAGGCAACUCUGACGCAGCCAUGCCGCGUGCAGGAAGAAGGCCUUAUGGGUCGUAAACUGCUUUUAUUUAGGAAUAAACCCCCGAACGUGUUCGGGGCUGAAGGUACUAAACGAAUAAGCACCGGCUAACUCCGUGCCAGCAGCCGCGGUAAUACGGAGGGUGCAAGCGUUAUCCGGAUUUAUUGGGUUGAAAGGGUGCGCAGGCGGGCUAUUAAGUCAGUGGUGAAAUCCCGGGGCUCAACUCCGGAACUGCCAUUGAUACUGAUAGUCUUGAGUUUGGUUGAAGUGGGCGGAAUGUAGCAUGUAGCGGUGAAAUGCAUAGAUAUGCUACAGAACACCAAUCGCGAAGGCAGCUCACUAAGCCAAAACUGACGCUCAUGCACGAAAGCGUGGGGAUCAAACAGGAUUAGAUACCCGAGUAGUC